rnacentral:rRNA from 1 species
CCAAUAGCGUAUAUUAAAGUUGUUGCAGUUAAAAAGCUCGUAGUUGAAUUUCGGGAUCAAUGUUUCGGUCAUGCCGUUGGUAUGUACUGAUAUUAUUGAUUUCUCACCUUCUAAAGAACCGUAAUGCCAUUAAUUUGGUGUCACGGGGAAUUAGGACUGUUACCUUGAAAAAAUUAGAGUGUUUAAAGCAGGCUCACGCU